UAUUUUUCUUUUUCCCUCUGCAUUACUCCUUUGCUUUCCCUAUAAAAAUAUCGUCCAAACUUUAUGGACUGCAAAACGCUUAACUAAGCAGACUCAUACACUAUUUUCAAGAAUAUCUUUUCUUUUCUUGCUUCUGCUGCCUCUUCAGAGCCUUCUCUUUCUACUUAGUUUUAUUCUUCAAGUAAGUGGUUGUAAUCCUUCUUUGUUUACUUGGUUUUAUCUCCUUGUAUAUAUAGUAGUAUUUCCUGCCUUGGUAGAAUAACUAAAAUACAUUUAUUUAUUUAAUUAUGUAUUUAAGACGUUCAUUAUCAUGCAGAGAUUCUUUUUUUAUCAUGGCUCAAGCACAUGAAAGUUACUUUUGAAAUGGGUGACAAAAUUAUUCGAACCCAGAACUUCUGGUCUGAUAAGUUGAAUUUGUGUGAUCAUUUAAUCUAAAAACUUAGUUUGUUAGUAAAAUCAUAUGUUUAUUUAUUUCUCCUACAAUUAUCAGCUUCUUGUAUUCUUUUUUUUUAAUAUAUUCUUGUUAAAAAGAUUCUUAGAUCCUCCGUGGUCCUAAUGCCCAACUUGGUUAUCAUGCUAUUUUCUUUCACUUUUUAUCUCUUUUUCAUAUAGCCAUGCAAACGAUUUAAUUUCUUCUUUUCUUUGGGGGUUUGAGUUUGUAUUAUUACUGAUUAUAUGUUUGUUUGGAUUCCUUCUUUAGUAAAACAGGCAGAGUGUAAGCUCUAUAUUUUUCUGCUAAUCUGAGGAAUUUAAAUUCAUGACGAAGUCUUCAAAAAUCUCACAACAGGUAAACCAAGUAAGAAAAACUAUAUAUAUCAUCUCAUAAAUGACCUGCCGUCAAUACGUCAUGCACCUUUAUCUUUAUAUUAUUAGUGUAGCUGCACUAUUGACGGUAGAUUAGUUAUUAUUUUCUUCAGGUUAACAAGUAUUCUUUCUGUUCGUUAACCCCCAAAAAAGAAGUAUUGUAUGCUUUCUGUUCGUUGACCCCCAAAAAAAAAGUAUUCUUUCUGUUCCAUUUUUAUGUAAACUUACUAUGUGAGUCAAAUAAUAAUUUCUUUGAGGAUAUUUUUAUAUUUUAACCCUAUCAAUACAUUAAACUUAACACUUUGGAUAUUACUCCCUCCGUCCUAAUUGACGGGAUAAUGUUUGACUUAGUACUCAUAGAGUAUAAGAAUGAAAAUAAGAUAUUUAAAAUUUGUGAUCUAAAAUAAGUUAUGAAUAUUUAUAUAGUUUAAAAUAAUUUUAUUAGGGGUAGAGAAAUAAUAACAAUAAUAACAAAAACGGUAUACUUAGUGUAUUCUCACAGAAAAAAUUUAUUUUGUGUCUCAUACAACUGACACUAAUUGUGUGAGACCUCUUUUUUAUCUCAC
rnacentral:lncRNA from 1 species